UAUUAGCACGGGUGAUGCCAGCCCCAUA
rnacentral:piRNA from 1 species